rnacentral:rRNA from 1 species
AACGAACGCUGGCGGCAUGCCUAACACAUGCCAGUCGAACGAUGCCUCCGGGCAUAGUGGCGCACGGGUGCGUAACGCGUGGGAAUCUGCCCUUGGGUUCGGAAUAACUCGCCGAAAGGCGAGCUAAUACCGGAUGAUGACGUAAGUCCAAAGAUUUAUCGCCCAAGGAUGAGCCCGCGUAGGAUUAGCUAGUUGGUGGGGUAAAGGCCCACCAAGGCGCCGAUCCUUAGCUGGUCUGAGAGGAUGAUCAGCCACACUGGGACUGAGACACGGCCCAGACUCCUACGGGAGGCAGCAGUGGGGAAUAGUGGACAAUGGGCGAAAGCCUGAUCCAGCAAUGCCGCGUGAGUGAUGAAGGCCGUAGGGUUGUAAAGCUCUUUUAACCGGGAUGAUAAUGACAGUACCGGGAGAAUAAGCGCCGGCUAACUCCGUG